rnacentral:rRNA from 1 species
CUGGCUUUGGUGGUCGCAGCGCACGCACUGGAUGCAGCUGGUAAGAGCCAGGCCGCGCGUAGGAUCGAGGCGGUCCGGUCGCUCACUGG